CGCGGCCUAUCAGCUUGUUGGUGAGGUAAUGGCUCACCAAGGCGACGACGGGUAGCCGGCCUGAGAGGGUGACCGGCCACACUGGGACUGAGACACGGCCCAGACUCCUACGGGAGGCAGCAGUGGGGAAUAUUGCACAAUGGGCGCAAGCCUGAUGCAGCAACGCCGCGUGAGGGAUGACGGCCUUCGGGUUGUAAACCUCUUUUAGUAGGGAAGGAGCGAAAGUGACGGUACCUGCAGAAAAAGCACCGGCUAACUACGUGCCAGCAGCCGCGGUAAUACGUAGGGUGCAAGCGUUGUCCGGAAUUAUUGGGCGUAAAGAGCUCGUAGGCGGCUUGUCGCGUCUGCUGUGAAAACCCGAGGCUCAACCUCGGGCCUGCAGUGGGUACGGGCAGGCUAGAGUGCGGUAGGGGAGAUUGGAAUUCCUGGUGUAGCGGUGGAAUGCGCAGAUAUCAGGAGGAACACCGAUGGCGAAGGCAGAUCUCUGGGCCGUAACUGACGCUGAGGAGCGAAAGCAUGGGGAGCGAACAGGAUUAGAUACCCUGGUAGUCCAUGCCGUAAACGUUGGGAACUAGAUGUAGGGCCUGUUCCACGGGUUCUGUGUCGUAGCUAACGCAUUAAGUUCCCCGCCUGGGGAGUACGG
rnacentral:rRNA from 1 species